UCUCUGAAGCUGGAUGGACACAAAGGGAAAAACACCUUUCCCUCCUAGUUCUGAGAAACUUCCUCUUGGCUCCCAGGAGGAGGGGUUCCUUGACGUCGACACACAUGAGCCACCUGGGCACAAAUCCCUUGGUGGUGUGGAAAAAACUAAAAUUCAGGUUUUAUGUCCUCUUCUCCCUCUCUGCCUUCAACAUAGACUUGACUCCCUUAAACACAGAGGCCUGUUGGAAUCUGACCCCCAAGACAUGGUUCCCAGUAUGUCAGGCAAUCUGGACUUGACUAAGUGUCACCACUGAGAUGGCGUCCCUCAAAAGAGUUCCUUCUUUAGCUCGUGGGUCUUCAGAUGGAUAAUCCUGCCAUUUUCAUUUCAUUUCCUGAAAGUCAGGGUCGGCUUGUGAAAAGUUGUUAAACAACAUGCUAAAUGUGAACUGUCCGCCCUCACUCUAAACUUCCCUGCUCCGGGCAUCACAUGAAGACCACAUUGGGUUUUAUAGUGGCUUUCUGAUUUUGGUAGUCCAUUGAAGAAGGGAGUUUGAAAGUUGUUUAUACUGCUAACGAUUGUCUGCCCAUGUCCUGCCUGAAAUACCAUGAUUGUCUGCCCAGGUCCUG